AUGCGCUGGUGGGGCAGGUUUGGUGGUUUUAUGCUAGUUAAAAAUCUGAGAAUCAAAAAUAAUCCUGCUGUUUCAUGUUUUGGUAUUACUCGCCUGUAUUUACAUAUUUUCAUGUGUGUAAAAAAUACAUUCCUACAAACAGAUAAAGAACGCCGCUGUCUUUACGUUGGCCCUGCCUCUCUUUCUAGGCUGACUUGCCAGAGGUUGGCAGCUCUCAGGUGCUGGAGGCUUCAUCAGGCUGGCGGAGCCCCCACCGCCCCCCAGGGCAGCCCGUGCCAGUGUCAGACAGGAAAGGUUUCUCUUGGGCUUAAAUGGAACACCGUCUAUUGCAGUAUUUCAAAUACCAUUCCCGAAACGCAUUGCUCUGUAAUGUUGGCAGCGGUGCGCGGGACAGGCGGCAGCACCCCAAGGAGCACCGCCUGGCCUACCCCAUGGUGUACUGCGGGGUAUGGCUGGGCACCGCACACUCCGCUGGGAGUUCAUCUGCAGAGAAAAUGUGCCAGCCUCCCCGUGAGCCUUGCUGCGAGCCAGUGCUGAGCGCCAUCUGGAGAACUGAUGCCGAAGUCAAGCAACAACAUCCUGCCAUAUUUUAUCUGGAACUUAGCAACAGAACAACUAAUAACAUCUUAAACUUCAUUUGUCUGGGUCUCUGGUGCUCUUGGCAGAGGUCAUAACCAGUAGUGACUUUGCUGAUUUGCUGCAUCAAAACUAAUUAGGUUACAGUGCUCACUGACACAGCCUCUGAUAAUGGCAGCCUCUGGCUUUAACUUCGCUCAUUAUGUCAAAAUAAGCAUUACAACCCAUAAAAGUUGCACUUGUAUCAUGUUCCUAGGUGUAAGCUUUAACAUUAUUAAAGGUGCUUGUUCAGCAUGACCAACCCCCUUCCGUAACUUCAUUUUUUCCUUUCCUCCUUUAAGCAUAAUGUGGGUGAGAAGGGGGUUCAUGGCAUGAACAUUUGCCUGGCACUGCAGGCAAGGAUUUCCAAGUCUGGACUCUGCUUCUUGCCUUCUUUGUGGCAACAAGGCCAGCCGCAACUUGCUUGGUUGGGUCUGUAGCUGAAUGAACCGAAGCUGCCUGCCUACUGCUCCAGAGGAAAACGUGGUGUCGGUGACCUUUUUACCGUGCUUUUUGGAAAUCUAUUCUUUUACCAGACACUUUCAUAGUAUGUCUAAUUGAAUGAGUCACCUCUAAAAAUCUGAGUAAAAAGAAGAUAACGGUUACACAAGGUUAAAAUUAGGGCAAUGCUCGGGGUAAAAGCCAGGGCAAUUCUUAACGGUUCUUAGUACAAGUGAGAAAGCAGCAGGAAAGAAGAUUUCUGUCUGCACAGAGGGAAAAAAAACAGAAGUAAGGUUUAACAGUUUCCUGCUUAAAUGUUGUAAAACAAGUCAGCAGGGGGCUGUGGCAGUAGGCAGAAUUGUGCUUUCUCACAGCAGGAAAGUGGCGCUGCACUAGACGGGCUACAUUGCUUAUCACGAUGAGGCCAUCUUAAAGAGCUAGUACAGCUCUUAAACAUAUAACAUGCAGAAGAAUCAUGAUU
ensembl:lncRNA